rnacentral:rRNA from 1 species
AGCGGCGGACGGGUGAGUAAUGUCUGGGAAACUGCCUGAUGGAGGGGGAUAACUACUGGAAACGGUAGCUAAUACCGCAUAACGUCUUCGGACCAAAGAGGGGGACCUUCGGGCCUCUUGCCAUCAGAUGUGCCCAGAUGGGAUUAGCUAGUAGGUGAGGUAAUGGCUCACCUAGGCGACGAUCCCUAGCUGGUCUGAGAGGAUGACCAGCCACACUGGAACUGAGACACGGUCCAGACUCCUACGGGAGGCAGCAGUGGGGAAUAUUGCACAAUGGGCGCAAGCCUGAUGCAGCCAUGCCGCGUGUAUGAAGAAGGCCUUCGGGUUGUAAAGUACUUUCAGCGAGGAGGAAGGCAUUGUGGUUAAUAACCGCAGUGAUUGACGUUACUCGCAGAAGAAGCACCGGCUAACUCCGUGCCAGCAGCCGCGGUAAUACGGAGGGUGCAAGCGUUAAUCGGAAUUACUGGGCGUAAAGCGCACGCAGGCGGUCUGUCAAGUCGGAUGUGAAAUCCCCGGGCUCAACCUGGGAACUGCAUUCGAAACUGGCAGGCUAGAGUCUUGUAGAGGGGGGGUAGAAUUCCAGGUGUAGCGGUGAAAUGCGUAGAGAUCUGGAAGGAAUACCGGUGGCGAAGGCGGCCCCCUGGACAAAGACUGACGCUCAGGUGCGAAAGCGUGGGGAGCAAACAGGAUUAGAUACCCGUGGUAGUCCACGCCGUAAACGAUGUCGACUUGGAGGUUGUUCCCUUGAGGAGUGGCUUCCGGAGCUAACGCGUUAAGUCGACCGCCUGGGGAGUACGGCCGCAAGGUUAAAACUCAAAUGAAUUGACGGGGGCCCGCACAAGCGGUGGAGCAUGUGGUUUAAUUCGAUGCAACGCGAAGAACCUUACCUACUCUUGACAUCCAGAGAAUUUGCUAGAGAUAGCUUAGUGCCUUCGGGAACUCUGAGACAGGUGCUGCAUGGCUGUCGUCAGCUCGUGUUGUGAAAUGUUGGGUUAAGUCCCGCAACGAGCGCAACCCUUAUCCUUUGUUGCCAGCGGUUCGGCCGGGAACUCAAAGGAGACUGCCAGUGAUAAACUGGAGGAAGGUGGGGAUGACGUCAAGUCAUCAUGGCCCUUACGAGUAGGGCUACACACGUGCUACAAUGGCGCAUACAAAGAGAAGCGACCUCGCGAGAGCAAGCGGACCUCAUAAAGUGCGUCGUAGUCCGGAUCGGAGUCUGCAACUCGACUCCGUGAAGUCGGAAUCGCUAGUAAUCGUAGAUCAGAAUGCUACGGUGAAUACGUUCCCGGGCCUUGU